GUAGGUGGCAAGCGUUGGCCGGAAUUAUUGGGCGUAAAGCGCGCGCAGGCGGUCCUUUAAGUCUGAUGUGAAAGCCCACGGCUCAACCGUGGAGGGUCAUUGGAAACUGGGGGACUUGAGUACAGAAGAGGAAAGCGGAAUUCCACGUGUAGCGGUGAAAUGCGUAGAGAUGUGGAGGAACACCAGUGGCGAAGGCGGCUUUCUGGUCUGUAACUGACGCUGAGGCGCGAAAGCGUGGGGAGCAAACAGGGAUUAGAUACCCUGGUAGUCCACGCCGUAAACGAUGAGUGCUAAGUGUUAGGGGGUUUCCCGCCCCUUAGUGCUGCAGCUAACGCAUUAAGCACUCCGCCUGGGGAUACGGCCGCAAGGCUG
rnacentral:rRNA from 1 species